ensembl:antisense Gm14198 predicted gene 14198
AACGAUCAGCUAUGAGGCUGGGUUUGCUGGGACCGAGCAUGUAUCGCCGAGAUAGAGCUCUCCUCUAGAAUACAAGAGACCCUGGAUUUGGUUCCCACAACAAUCAGACAGCUCUCUAAAGCUUCAGAGGGGAUGAGGGGAGAGAGCGGCUCUCCCAGUCCACUCACCCGUGUCUUCUUCUUCCUGCCUGUUGGGGUUCAAAGCCAUGACUUGUACGGUCACAGAGUUUCGGGAGACUGUGCCGCCACUUCGCCCUGGAGGCCACACCUUAUGAGUCUGCAUGUGCUUCUUGACGUUAGACUUCUGGGCAAAGGCACGGCCACACGCAAUGCACUGGAAGGGCUUCUCCCCUGUGUGGCUAUACGAACAAGGCAUGCGGAUGGGCAGAGGGCCUGAGAAGGGCACCUCACUUCCCGGCCCUGUGCUGGAGACACCGGCCCUCAGGGCUACCUUCGGAUAUGCUGCUGAAGAUCAAAGUUCUUGGUGAAGGACUUGUCACAGUAGGAGCACUUGAGUUUCUGAGCUUUUGGCUUCCCUGCAGCUGGAAGGCAAUGGAGGAGAAGGAUGGUCAGGCUGAGGUCCCAGUGGAGGGAAGCUGGGAACCGCUUCUCCCCUAGGGUCAGACAGGCACACACGUUGGAAACAUCUCUAUCUAUGUGUAGGCACUGUAAGAGGGAAAGUCCAAGGCUUGCUCUGAAGGGAACAGACAAAGCUCUCUCAAAGGCUUCCUCUGCCUCACAAUGAAAUCCACCCUCUCUGUCACGGCCUUCAGAACUCCACUUCCUCAGCCUCUGCCAACUUCAGCAUUCCCUCCAUCUUGCGAUGGACUCCUUGCUCCUCGUGAUGCCCGCACACAUGGUCUUCCCUCAGGACUUUGUACCUGUUCAUCCCCCUGCCUGGGAAGCUUGCUCCCAGGUACCAACAUGACUUCUUCCUUCCCUCCAGAAA